rnacentral:rRNA from 1 species
GUGGGGAAUCUUAGACAAUGGGGGCAACCCUGAUCUAGCCAUGCCGCGUGAGUGAUGAAGGCCUUAGGGUUGUAAAGCUCUUUCAGCUGGGAAGAUAAUGACGGUACCAGCAGAAGAAGCCCCGGCUAACUCCGUGCCAGCAGCCGCGGUAAUACGGAGGGGGCUAGCGUUGUUCGGAAUUACUGGGCGUAAAGCGCACGUAGGCGGAUCAGAAAGUUGGGGGUGAAAUCCCGGGGCUCAACCUCGGAACUGCCUUCAAAACUAUUGGUCUUGAGUUCGAGAGAGGUGAGUGGAAUUCCGAGUGUAGAGGUGAAAUUCGUAGAUAUUCGGAGGAACACCAGUGGCGAAGGCGGCUCACUGGCUCGAUACUGACGCUGAGGUGCGAAAGCGUGGGGAGCAAACAGGAUUAGAUACCCUAGUAGUCC